rnacentral:rRNA from 1 species
UACAGAGGGUGCAAGCGUUGUUCGGAAUUACUGGGCGUAAAGCGCGUGUAGGCUGCGGAAUAAGUCGGAUGUGAAAGCCCUCAGCUUAACUGAGGAAGUGCAUCCGAUACUGUCUCGCUUGAGUGUCGGAGGGGAUGGCGGAAUUCCCGGUGUAGAGGUGAAAUUCGUAGAUAUCGGGAGGAACACCUGUGGCGAAGGCGGCCAUCUGGACGACGACUGACGCUGAGACGCGAAAGCGUGGGUAGCAAACAGG